rnacentral:rRNA from 1 species
AGCGAACGCUGGCGGCGUGCCUAACACAUGCAAGUCGAACGUGAAAAGGGGCAACCCUGAGUAAAGUGGCGUACGGGUGAGUAACACGUAGAUAAUCUACCCCAGAGUCUGGAAUAACCUGCCGAAAGGCGGGCUAAUACUGGAUAGAGCGAUGGAAUCCGUAAUUGGGUUUUUCGGGAAAGGGAGCUCGCAAGAGCCUUCGUUCUGGGAUGAGUCUGCGUCCCAUUAGCUAGUUGGCGGGGUAAUGGCCCACCAAGGCAAUGAUGGGUAGCUGGUCUGAGAGGAUGAUCAGCCACACUGGAACUGAAACACGGUCCAGACUCCUACGGGAGGCAGCAGUGGGGAAUCUUGCGCAAUGGACGAAAGUCUGACGCAGCCACGCCGCGUGAGUGAAGAAGGCCUUCGGGUUGUAAAGCUCUGUCGCCCGGGACGAAAAUCUUUUAGGUGAAUAGCCUAGGAGACUGACGGUACCGGGAGAGGAAGCACCGGCUAACUCCGUGCCAGCCGCCGCCGUAAGAC